GUGCUCGCUUCAGCCACACAUAUACUAAAAUUGGAAUGAUACAGAGAUUUAGCAUGGCCACUGCACAAGGAUGACAUGAAUAUUCUUGAAGAAACUCAACAUGAA